GCCUACGGGGGGCAGCAGUAGGGAAUCUUCCCCAAUGGACGAAAGUCUGAUGGAGCAACGCCGCGUGAGUGAAGAAGGGUUUCGGCUCGUAAAGCUCUGUUGGUAGUGGAGAAAGAUAGAGGUGGUAACUGGCCUUUAUUUUACGGUAAUUACUUAGAAAGUCACGGCUAACUACGUGCCAGCAGCCGCGGUAAUACGUAGGUGGCAAGCGUUGUCCGGAUUUAUUGGGCGUAAAGCUAGUGCAGGCGGGUUCAUAAGGCU
rnacentral:rRNA from 1 species